rnacentral:lncRNA from 1 species
UUUUAUCAAUUAAAUCGAUUUUAAUAACUAUGUGGAUAACAGAUUUCCUGACUUUUUGCAUAUCCUGCGCGAACAACAGGUGGCCAUACAGAACCACCUCAAUUUUGUCGUUGACAUGUGUCAUCUCUAUAAACUCCUGUAACAUUGAGGAAUCCUUCCAUUAUUUUCCACCGAUCGUUUCGUUGAUGCGGCUGCGCUUGCCGAUACCGGUUUUUCGCGAUAAAAAAAUUUAAAAUUUCCAAAAUACAUUUUUUAAAUAUUAAUUCAUCAAAUUUGGUCGGUAGCCGGUACGUCGGGCAGCAUUUUACAGGCAGUGAUUGAUCGACGACCAGAAUUUCGCCAGUAGAAUAACCCAACCGAAGAAUUUUAUUAAUCGAAUCCGUGACUGGUGAGGCUGGUGGACCACAGAUAUUUUCGAACUUCUUUGAACCUGCCAUCCCCCCCGCUAGCAGAUCAGUCCUCAUUGGCGUGGCUGCUGUAGUAUUGUCCGCUGCCAAAACCGCAACGAACUGGAUAAAAACUUGGCCACUAACGGCCUAGAAGAGGCACGUUUUACCAUUUUCAUUAUUGCGAGAAUAGUUGGUGAUCAGUUGUUUAUAGUAAUAUUUGACGAAACAUGUGUAAUUCUUCUAACCCUCAAUUCUCAACUCAAUACUACCAACAUCCUCAUUUUCCCACUCCAGGGGAGCCUAUGCUUAUUGUAAACACCAAGUCCACAGCUUCUGUUCAGUUUUGUACGCCGUGCCAAAAAUACAUCCGUGUGGUAAAACACCAGCACCAACUGUUCGUACCAUCCCACUGGACAUCUUUUAUUCUGGCAUUCCCUUCCAAUCCUCACAUUUGCCCCAAUCGUCCCCAUGAGUAAUUGUUCCAUUUUCAAGUAUUCCUUUAGCCUUGUUCGCUUUUUAAUUUUUCGAUUACUCAGAAUGGAACUGUUUAAGUGGAAUAUUGUACUGUGUUUAUGAUUGUUCAUUGAAUUAAUUGUAAUUUAUUUGUGUUAUUUAUUUUUAAUGCUCUUUUAUACCUGCUAAGAAACACUGUUCAUGUUUGUUACUUUUAUUUGCAAUGUUUUUGUAAUUUCGUAAUGUUUGUAAGCCAUUUGGCCUUUUAAAUGUCGUUUAUUUAAUGUGAAGGUGAAAUGUGCGAAUUUAUGGAUUAAUACUAGACUUCAGGGUCUCCCAACUAACUUAACCAAUCUGAGUCAAUAUUAAAAUAAAUGUUUGUUUCCAGAAUUUUAUGUGCAAUGUUAUCAUGUACGGUUGAGUUUGUUUGGGGACCCAUACGGCCUCCAAUUCACCUAAUAUUUUCACAAUGUAAAAUGAUCAAUAAAUAAAUGUU